rnacentral:rRNA from 1 species
CCUACGGGAGGCAGCAGUGGGGAAUAUUGCACAAUGGGGGGAACCCUGAUGCAGCGACGCCGCGUGGGUGAAGAAGCGCCUCGGCGUGUAAAGCCCUGUCAGCAGGGAAGAAAAUGACGGUACCUGACUAAGAAGCCCCGGCUAACUACGUGCCAGCAGCCGCGGUAAUACGUAGGGGGCAAGCGUUAUCCGGAUUCACUGGGUGUAAAGGGGGCGUAGACGGCGAGGCAAGCCAGGUGUGAAAGUCCGGGGCUCAACCCCGGGACUGCAUUUGAAACUGGCAUGCUGGAGUGCAGGAGAGGCAAGCGGAAUUCCUGGUGUAGCGGUGAAAUGCGUAGAUAUCAGGAGGAACACCGGUGGCGAAGGCGGCCUGCUGGACUGCAACUGACGUUGAGGCCCGAAAGCGUGGGGAGCAAACAGGAUUAGAUACCCGAGUAGUC